rnacentral:misc_RNA from 1 species
GCUUUCGGGAAAUGCCUGGAAGCAUGCCUCUUUGAGUGUCGGUAACACCUCACAUUGGUGCUUUCCUUUCGUCUUGUUAUUUGUUUACGAAAAACAAAAAACAACAAACUAGAAAUGGAAAGAACACCAGAGAGUGAGUGCUCUUCCCCUUCUUUCAAAUGGGAAGUCACCCAAAGUGCUUUACAACGCUCCUCACUGUGCUUCGCGCGCAAGGAACAGAGAGAAACUGGGAGUAAGAGCGAGAUAGAACCUUAUCUGCACUUGUUCCCUUUCCUUCCUCUUCUUGCCGGCCAGUGUGGGUGGGAGUUGCAUCGCGGUUGUUUUAUUUUUUCUCGAUGCGUGAAAAAUAGAGCACCGCAAUAUAUUUUUUAAAAAAAAUAAGACCUCAAAUGAGGUAGGA